CUGCAGUGAUGUUUUGAAUUUCUUCAACUGAAAAAAUAAUGAAGCUACCUUAACUUUUUAACCCUGAGCAUU
ensembl:snoRNA SNORD36 Small nucleolar RNA SNORD36